UACGUAGGGUGCGAGCGUUGUCCGGAUUUAUUGGGCGUAAAGGGCUCGUAGGCGGCCUGUCGCGUCGGGAGUGAAAGCCCACUGCUUAACGGUGGGUCUGCUUCCGGUACGGGCGGGCUGGAGUAUGGCAGGGGAGACUGGAAUUCCUGGUGUAGCGGUGGAGUGCGCAGAUAUCAGGAGGAACACCGGUGGCGAAGGCGGGUCUCUGGGCCAUUACUGACGCUGAGGAGCGAAAGCGUGGGGAGCGAACAGG
rnacentral:rRNA from 1 species